rnacentral:rRNA from 1 species
AGCGAACGCUGGCGGCAGGCCUAACACAUGCAAGUCGAACGGAACUUCCGGGGUUAGUUGCGGUCGGGGGAGGAACACGGGGGAAGGUGCCGGUAGGUACCGAAUACUUCAGUUUAACUUGUGCUAAUGCAGAAUGUGCUAUUCGGGGGAAGGAUUAAUCGCCUUUAGAGGGGCCGGGGACUGUUUAGCCUGUUGGGUGUGGGAAUGGCUCACCAGGGCGACGUUGAGUAGCUGGUCGGGGAGGAUGAUCCGCCACAUUGGGACUGAGACACGGCCCGAAAUCCUAGGCGAGGCAGGAGUGGGGAAUCUAGCGCAAGGGGGGAAGGCCUGACGCAGCCAUGCCGGGUGAAUCAUGAAGUUCUUAGGAAAGUAAAAUUGUUUCACCGGGGACGAUAAUGACGGUACCCGGAGAAGAAGCCCCGGCUAACUUCGUG